CAGCAGAGCCGCGGUAAUACGGAGGGAGCUAGCGUUGUUCGGAAUUACUGGGCGUAAAGCGCGCGUAAGCGGUUACUCAAGUCAGAGGUGAAAGCCCGGGGCUCAACCCCGGAACUGCCUUUGAAACUAGGUGACUAGAAUCUUGGAGAGGUCAGUGGAAUUCCGAGUGUAGAGGUGAAAUUCGUAGAUAUUCGGAAGAACACCAGUGGCGAAGGCGACUGACUGGACAAGUAUUGACGCUGAGGUGCGAAAGCGUGGGGAGCAAACAGGAUUAGAUACCCGAGUAGUCCCUGUCUCUUAUACA
rnacentral:rRNA from 1 species